UAAACACCCAGCAGGAAAGUAUAACCAAAA
rnacentral:piRNA from 2 species